rnacentral:miRNA from 1 species
GAGUGAGGAUGAGAUUGAGAGAGAGGAUGAGAGGGAAAAGUAACAAAAGUGAAAACAAAAACUUGAAAGUGAAAACAAUUUCAAAUAGAUUUUAGUUUUUAUUUUCACUUUUGUUACUCCUUCCUCCCUCCUCCCCUCUCAUCUCCCAUC